rnacentral:rRNA from 1 species
GGUUUCUGCUAAGUCGCAAGACGAUGUAUAGGAGCUGACGCCUGCCCGGUGCUGGAAGGUUAAGGGGAUCUGUUAGAGCAAUCGAAGCAGUGAACUUAAGCCCCAGUAAACGGCGGCCGUAACUAUAACGGUCCUAAGGUAGCGAAAUUCCUUGUCGGGUAAGUUCCGACCCGCACGAAAGGCGUAACGAUUUGGGCACUGUCUCAACAACAGACUCGGUGAAAUUGUAAUUCCGGUGAAGAUGCCGGAUACCUGCGACAGGACGGAAAGACCCCAUGGAGCUUUACUGUAGCUUGACAUUGGGUCUUGGUACUACAUGUACAGGAUAGGUGGGAGGCUUUGAAACCAGGACGCCAGUUUUGGCGGAGCCAUCCUUGGGAUACCACCCUUGUAGUACUGGGACACUAACCAGAGGCCGUGCAUCUGGCCUUGGUACACUGUCAGGGGUGCAGUUUGACUGGGGCGGUCGCCUCCCAAAAGGGAACGGAGGCGCUCAAAGGUUCUCUCAGUACGGUCGGAAAUCGUACGUAGAGUGUAAAGGCAAAAGAGAGCUUGAUUGCAAGACAUACAGGUCGAGCAAGGAUGAAAAUCGGACGUAGUGAUCCGGUGGUUCUGCGUGGAAGGGCCAUCGCUCAACGGAUAAAAGCUACCCUGGGGAUAACAGGCUUAUCUCCCCCAAGAGUCCACAUCGACGGGGAGG